AGAGUUUGAUCCUGGCUCAGAACGAACGUUGGCGGCGUGGAUUAGGCAUGCAAGUCGGGGGAAUCCCAGCAAUGGGGGAACCGGCGUAAGGGGCAGUAAGGCAUGGGUACCUACCCUCGGAUUCGGGAUAGCCAUCAGAGAUGGUGGGUAAUACCGGAUGAUGUCGUGAGACCAAAGAUUUAUCGUCCGGGGAGGGGCCCAUGUGAUAUUAGCUAGUUGGUGAGGUAAUGGCUCACCAAGGCGAAGAUGUCUAGCGGGUGUGAGAGCACGACCCGCGCCACUCGCACUGAGACACUGGCGAGACACCUACGGGUGGCUGCAGUCGAGGAUCUUCGGCAAUGAGCGCAAGCUUGACCGAGCGACGCCGCGUGAGCGAUGAAGGCCUUCGGGUUGUAAAGCUCUUUAGGGGGGGAGAAAAGUCAGCAAUGGUGUGAUCUAUCCCCAAAAUAAGCACGGGCUAAGUUCGUGCCAGCAGCCGCGGUAAGACGAACCGUGCGAACGUUGUUCGGAAUCACUGGGCUUAAAGGGAGCGUAGGCGGGCUAUCAAGUCUGGGGUGAAAUACCACGGCUCAACCGUGGAACUGCCUCAGAUACUGACGGCCUCGAGGGAGAUAGGGGCAUGCGGGACUGUAGGUGGAGCGGUGAAAUGCGUUGAUAUCUACAGGAACUCCGGUGGCGAAAGCGGCGUGCUGGAUCUCUUCUGACGCUGAGGCUCGAAAGCUAGGGGAGCAAACGGGAUUAGAUACCCCGGUAGUCCUAGCCCUAAACGAUGGGUACUAGAUAGUAGACUAGAUAUGGGU
rnacentral:rRNA from 1 species